CCUACGGGUGGCAGCAGUGGGGAAUAUUGCACAAUGGGGGAAACCCUGAUGCAGCGACGCCGCGUGAGUGAAGAAGUAUCUCGGUACGUAAAGCUCUAUCAGCAGGGAAGAAAAUGACGGUACCUGACUAAGAAGCCCCGACUAACUAUGUGCCAGCAGCCGCGGUAAUACGUAGGGGGCAAGCGUUAUCCGGAUUUACUGGGUGUAAAGGGAGCGUAGACGGCAGCACAAGUCUGGAGGGAAAUCCCGGGGCUUAACCCCGGAACUGCUUUGGAAACUGUGCGGCUGGAGUGCAGGAGGGGUAAGCGGAAUUCCGAGGGUAGCGGUGAAAUACGUAGAUAUUAGGAGGAACACCGGUGGCGAAGGCGGCUUACUGGACUGUAACUGACGUUGAGGCUCGAAAGCGUGGGGAACAAACAGGAUUAGAUACCCGAGUAGUC
rnacentral:rRNA from 1 species